rnacentral:rRNA from 1 species
UACGUAGGGGGCGAGCGUUGUCCGGAAUCAUUGGGCGUAAAGCGCGUGUAGGCGGCUCGGUAAGUCCGGUGUGAAACCUUGGGGCUCAACCCCAAGCCUGCACUGGAUACUGUCGAGCUCGAGUCCGGGAGGGGAGAGCGGAAUCCUAGUGUAGCGGUGAAAUGCGCAGAUAUUAGGAAGAACACCGGUGGCGAAGGCGGCUCUCUGGAACGGUACUGACGCUGAGACGCGAAAGCGUGGGGAGCGAACAGG